AAGUCUAAAUAUCAGACGACAAAGUCGAGAGCAGCAUAAAUUUUCUGAGCGAACUAUUUAUAAGACUACUAAAUUUUUUAAGCAGCAGACAUUUCAAAUUUGUGAAGCUGUAUAUAAAGUUUUAAAGGAGCCAAAAAUCUUUAAGAAUUACAACAUAUGAGAAUGUCAUCAGAUAUUUGCCUGCCCAAUCAACAGCAGCUGUCCAGAAAUAUGUAAUGGAUUUAUCAGGAGAAGGAAGUGCGGUCGUCGAACUGUUGGGGUCGUGGAUCUAGGGUGUGUUCCAGAUAAUUAUGAACCCUACUACAGCAAGGACGAGCUGAAAGAGGCAGAGAAGAUCGACAGAGACUGCCUUCUCAACUGGGACGUCCUUCGUCAUGAAGUUUGACUCGAUGGGCGAUGGCGACACCCGUUUAUCUCCCCGGAUGGCGCUCUCCAAAGAUGGCGGCAGGUUGUUGAUGAAGGCGUCCGAGUAAUCCCCGACGCUUCGUUUAUCAUCUUUAUCGUUUGCAUCAACUUGUGUCGUCUAUCAGGCCGGUGAAGGCGCUGGUCGGAACGCCAGAGGGAUGAGAUGAUGAGUGCGGGGAAGGGUCUCAUCUGUGUCCUCCAUCCUCUACACCCAUUCCAUGUCAUGCGUAUUCUUUAUUAACCGCCGUCCCAGACCUCGAGAUGGCGCAGCGCCCUCACCCUCACCUCCACCACCACCACCGCCACCAACCUCCCAACUUGCUGGUUAUCUCAAUCGCCCAGACGUCGUCGGCAAGUGCCGUCCCCAUGUGACACCGUGACACCAUGUGACACCCGUGACAUCAUUAAAAUGCCGGGCUGCUGGCCAGGGAGGCUGCAGCUGCCAGUAGGUGUAUGUGCAGUCAGGCCGCCCUGGCGCUGUAUUUACACGCUGGCGUGCUGUCCAGGCCCACGUUUACAACCUUCACCGCUUGUUCUCGGAUCGCGAGGGGUUGAUGCUUAAAGAGGUGAACAGCAUUUUGUCACGUUUGGAGGGUGUUUAACCCAGACACUGGGACGUCUGCGAAGAAGAAAGAGAAGUAGGACGGAAAAAUACUAAUAAUAAAAUCACAGCAAGCGAAAG
rnacentral:lncRNA from 1 species